rnacentral:rRNA from 1 species
UACGUAGGGGGCUAGCGUUGUCCAGAUUUAUUGGGCGUAAAGAGCGUGUAGGCGGCCAUGUAGGUCCGGUGUGAAAACUCGAGGCUUAACCUCGAGAUGUCAUCGGAAACCAUUUGGCUAGAGUCCGGAAGAGGAGAGUGGAAUUCCUGGUGUAGCGGUGAAAUGCGCAGAUAUCAGGAAGAACACCCGUGGCUAAGGCGGCUCUCUAGUACGGUACUGACGCUGAGACGCGAAAGCGUGGGGAGCGAACAGG